rnacentral:rRNA from 1 species
AAAUGAAUUGACGGGGGCCCGCACAAGCAGUGGAGCAUGUGGUUUAAUUCGAAGCAACGCGAAGAACCUUACCAGGACUUGACAUCCUUUGACCGCUCUAGAGAUAGGGCUUUCCCCUUCGGGGGACAAAGUGACAGGUGGUGCAUGGUUGUCGUCAGCUCGUGUCGUGAGAUGUUGGGUUAAGUCCCGCAACGAGCGCAACCCUUGACCUUAGUUGCCAGCAUUCAGUUGGGCACUCUAAGGUGACUGCCGGUGACAAACCGGAGGAAGGUGGGGAUGACGUCAAAUCAUCAUGCCCCUUAUGUCCUGGGCUACACACGUGCUACAAUGGACAGUACAAAGGGUCGCGAAGCCGCGAGGCGGAGCCAAUCCCAAAAAGCUGUUCUCAGUUCGGAUUGCAGGCUGCAACUCGCCUGCAUGAAGCCGGAAUUGCUAGUAAUCGCGGAUCAGCAUGCCGCGGUGAAUACGUUCCCGGGCCUUGUACACACCGCCCGU